rnacentral:rRNA from 1 species
AUUGAACGCUGGCGGCAGGCCUAACACAUGCAAGUCGAGCGAGAGGCGGAAGGGUGAGUAAUGUAUGGGGAUCGGACCGAUAGAGGGGGAUAACUAAGGGAAACGGUGGCUAAGAACGAAUAAUAUAGGAUGAACCGAAAUGGGAUUAGCUAGUAGGUGGGGGAAAGGCACACCAAGGCGACGAACUCUAGCUGGUCUGAGAGGAUGAUCAGCCACACUGGAACUGAGACACGGCCCAGACUCCUACGGGAGGCAGCAGUGGGGAAUAUUGCACAAUGUGCGCAAGCCGUAUGCAGCCAUGCCGCGUGUAUGAAGAAGGCCUUAGGGUUGUAAAGUACUUUCAGCUGGGAGGCGUUAUCCGCAGAAGAAGCACCGGCUAACUCCGUGCCAGCAGCCGCGGUAAUUC